rnacentral:rRNA from 1 species
GACGAACGCUGGCGGCGUGCUUAACACAUGCAAGUCGAACGAAGUGGCGAACGGGUGAGUAACGCGUAAUCAACCUGCCCUUCAGAGGGGGACAACAGUUGGAAACGACUGCUAAUACCGCAUACUGAAGGUGGGGUUUGCGUAUGAUUAGCUAGCUGGAGGGGUAACGGCCCCCCAAGGCGAUGAUCAGUAGCCGGGCUGGAGGGAGGAACGGCCACAUUGGGACUGAGAAACGGCCCCGAAUCCUACGGGAGGCAGGAGUGGGGAAUCUUCGCAAAUGGACGGAAGUCUGACGGAGCAACGCCGCGUGCGUGAUAACGGCCUUCGGGUUGUAAAGGUCUGUUAAUCGGGGCGCGGUACCUGAAUAGAAAGCCACGGCUAACUACGUGCCAGCCGCCGCGGUAAUUC